GGAUGCAAGCGUUAUCCGGAAUGAUUGGGCGUAAAGCGUUCGCAGGUGGCUAUGUAAGUCUGCUGUUAAAGAGUCUAGCUCAACUAGAUAAGAGCAGUGGAAACUACAAGGCUAGAGUACGUUCGGGGCAGAGGGAAUUCCUGGUGUAGCGGUGAAAUGCGUAGAGAUCAGGAAGAACACCAGUGGCGAAGGCGCUCUGCUAGGCCGUAACUGACACUGAGGGACGAAAGCUAGGGGAGCGAAUGGG
rnacentral:rRNA from 1 species